UUUAAAGCAGGCAGGAUAGCUUGAAUAGGCCAGCAUGGAAUAACAAGAUAGGACAUUGAGGGCCUCUUGUUGGUUUGGGGACGGAUGUAAUGAUUGAUAGGGUCAGUUGGGGGCAUUAGUAUUCAGUAGUCAGAGGUGAAAUUCUUGGAUUUACUGAAGACUGACUAGGGCGAAAGCAUUUGCCAAGGAUGUUUUCAUUAAUCAAGAACGAAAGUUAGGGGAUCGAAGACGAUCAGAUACCGUCGUAGUCUUGACUAUAAACGAUGCCGACUAGGGAUCGGCAGGGGUCGGUUAGCGACACUGUCGGGACUUUGUGAGAAAUCAAAGUGUUUGGGUUCUGGGGGGAGUAUGGUCGCAAGGCUGAAACUUAAAGGAAUUGACGGAAGGGCACCACCAGGAGUGGAGCCUGCGGCUUAAUUCGACUCAAC
rnacentral:rRNA from 1 species